GAAUGAUUAUGUUAAUUCAAUGUAGGUUGGAUCAAUUGUGCUACUUAAGACUUCAAACUAUCCAAAUAAGACAAUUGUGGCCUAUGCAACCCUUUUGAGCUCUAGUCCAAAAGCACAAGCUGGUGGAGUUGAGAUAGGAAAGCAAUUCUACAAAGUGCGUAUCAAUCACCCUACUGUACAAGAGGAGCCAUUAUUGAGGCCCAUGACCGGCUACAGACCCAUUGGUGAUGCCCAUGCCAAAGGAGUGCCAAUUGCUUGGCCUUUGAUUUGUGUUGAAAUGAUCAAUGGUUGAAUCACGAAGCACUGGAUGUUGAGAAUACUAUAUAUGUUGUGGCAUAGACUACUAGUGAUGAUUAAUUACUUGUGGCACAUUUGCUCUUUAGAAUCAUAUGGUUGUGUAUAUAAUGUCAAUUAUUAAAUGUCAUGGUCAAGUUCUGUGUUUCCUUAUGAAAAGUGCAACUUUCUUUGGUUA